rnacentral:snRNA from 1 species
AUCCUCGAGGAUAUCCGAUAAAAUUGGAACGACGAAGAGAAGCAUAGCCAAUGCGCAAGGAUGACACACACAAAUCAAGAAAUGGUCAAAAAAAUC